AUCAAAGCCAAAAACUUUUUAUUGAUGGGUGAGUUGCAUCAAGUCAGUAAGCAAAGGUCCUUUGAUCCACAGAAUACAAUGGCUGGAUGGCAGUGGGAAGUUAAAGUUAGCUAUAGCUAGCUAGGGGGCUAAGUGGCACGAGGAACAAGUUGGUUGGCACGGCUGGCGGUGAGCCGGUGACUUAAGGGGUUCCUUCUUUUGAAUUACCAUGGGACAAGACAGAUACACACACCCUGCUUUAACUUGGUACGAAUUAAAUGCCAAGGAAAAUGCUCUGCUUAUUUUGCCUUUACAUUGAAAAGAUGCUCUUACUUUUCUAACCAAUAAUGAUUUUCUUUGACAGAUUUUCACAAUGUAGUGGACUUGUUCUUCCCCAUCUCCUUCAUUAUCUAUAUAAAAUAAAUAUACUUACAUAACCAAAA
rnacentral:lncRNA from 1 species